rnacentral:rRNA from 1 species
GACGAACGCUGGCGGCGUGCCUACUACAUGCAAGUCGAACGCAUUGGGGACGGGUGAGUCACACGUGGGUAACCUCCCAUCAGAGGGGAUAACACUUGGAAACAGGUGCUAAACCGAUACUGAUGGAUGACCCCGCGGUGCAUUAGCUAGUUGGUGAGGUAACGGCUCACCAAGGCCACGAGGCAUAGCCGACCCGAGAGGUAGAUCGGCCAAAAUGGGACUGAGAGACGGCCCAGACUCCUACGGGAGGCAGCAGUAGGGAAUCUUCGGCAAUGGGCGAAAGUCUGACCGAGCAACGCCGCGUGGGUGAAGAAGGUUUUCGGAUCGUAAAUCUCUGGUGUUAGGGAAGCGGUAUCGAACCAGAAAGCCACGGCUAACUACGGGCCAGCAGCCGCGGUAAUUC